rnacentral:rRNA from 1 species
GAUGAACGCUGGCGGCGUGCCUAAUACAUGCAAGUCGAGCGAACAGAUGAGGAGCUUGCUCCUCUGACGUUAGCGGCGGACGGGUGAGUAACACGUGGAUAACCUACCUAUAAGACUGGGAUAACUUCGGGAAACCGGAGCUAAUACCGGAUAAUAUAUUGAACCGCAUGGUUCAAUAGUGAAAGACGGUUUUGCUGUCACUUAUAGAUGGAUCCGCGCCGCAUUAGCUAGUUGGUAAGGUAACGGCUUACCAAGGCAACGAUGCGUAGCCGACCUGAGAGGGUGAUCGGCCACACUGGAACGGAGCCACGGUCCAGACUCCUACGGGAGGCAGCAGUAGGGAAUCUUCCGCAAUGGGCGAAAGCCUGACGGAGCAACGCCGCGUGAGUGAUGAAGGUCUUCGGAUCGUGAAACUCUGUUAUUAGGGAAGAACAAAUGUGUAAGUAACUAUGCACGUCUUGACGGUACCUAAUCAGAAAGCCACGGCUAACUACGUG